CGCGUAGGCGGUUUCGUAAGUCGGAUGUGAAAGCCCAGGGCUUAACCUUGGAAUUGCAUUCGAUACUGCGUAACUAGAGUAUGGUAGAGGGAAGUGGAAUUUCCGGUGUAGCGGUGAAAUGCGUAGAUAUCGGAAGGAACACCAGUGGCGAAGGCGACUUCCUGGGCCAAUACUGACGCUGAGGUGCGAAAGCGUGGGGAGCAAACA
rnacentral:rRNA from 1 species